UACGUAGGGCGCAAGCGUUAUCCGGAAUUAUUGGGCGUAAAGAGCUCGUAGGCGGUUUUGGUCGCGUUCUGCCGUUGAAAGUCCGGGGCUCAACUCCGGAUCUGCGGUGGGUACGGGCAGUACUAGAGUGAUGUAGGGGAGACUGGAAUUCCUGGUGUAGCGGUGAAAUGCGACAGAUAUCAGGAGGAACACCGAGUGGCGAAGGCAGGUCUCUGGGCAUUAACUGACGCUGAGGAGCGAAAGCAUGGGGAGCGAACAGG
rnacentral:rRNA from 1 species